rnacentral:rRNA from 1 species
AGAGCGAACGCUGGCGGCAGGCCUAACACAUGCAAGUCGAGCGCCCGUAGCAAUACGGGAGCGGCAGGCGGGAUAGUAACACGUGGGAACGCGCCCUUCGGUUCGGAAUAACUCAGGGAAACUUGAGCUAAUACCGAAUACGCCCUUACGGGGAAAGAUUUAUUGCCGAAGGAACGGCCCGCGUCCGAUUAGCUAGUUGGUGAGGUAAUGGCUCACCAAGGCUACGAUCGGUAGCUGGUCUGAGAGGAUGACCAGCAUCACUGGGACUGAGACACGGCCCAGACUCCUACGGGAGGCAGCAGUGGGGAAUAUUGGACAAUGGGCGAAAGCCUGAUCCAGCCAUGCCGCGUGGAUGAUGAAGGCCUUAGGGUUGUAAAGUCCUUUAACGGGGAAGAUAAUGACGGUACCGUAGAAUAAGCCCCGGCUAACUUCGUGCCAGCAGCCGC